UCCAACAAUUCUCAUUGGUAUUCAACAACUAUGGGUGUUGGCUCCAACAAUUCUCAUUGAUCUUCAACAACUAUGGGUGUUGGCUCCAACAAUUCUCAUUGGUCUCCAACAACUAUGGUGUUAGCUCCAACAAUUCUCACAUGCAUUGGUGGCAUGGGAGCUAUUAUGGGAGACAUGGGUGACAUGUGAGGCAUGGGAGUCAUGGGUGACUUCGGAGCUAUCAUUGACGACAUGGGUGGCUUCGGUGUUACAAUGGGAGGCAUGGGAGGCUUCAGUUCUACCAUGGGAGGCAUGAGAGGCAUGAGCUUUGGGUCUCUCAUGGAAGGCAUGGGAGCAUCUUCGGGUGACAUGGAUGGACACAUGUCUUCCGGUGUGUCUCACAUACCUUUGCAUGAUAUCGUUGGAGAUCUUGCCAACACCUUUCGAGCUCUCGAUGAUGAUGCAGCGUGCGACAAUGAAGAUGAGGAGGAAGAAACGUCUCCGGAUGAGGAAGAAGAAUAGGAGAAAAAGGAGGACGAUGAUGAGGAUGCGACAUUAUUGUUGAUGUGUUGUUUGUUUGUCAAAACUUUUAUGUCAUGAACUUGGUUGGGUAAUUUUGGACUUGGUUGGAGGAUGAUGUGGCAUGAUUGUUGAUAUGUCGUGCAAUUAAACUAUGUAUUUUUUUUAUGUUUGGA
rnacentral:lncRNA from 1 species